rnacentral:misc_RNA from 1 species
GUGAUUAAAUUCGAGCGUAGUCUUCAUUACCGCUUCACCCUUCUCACCAUUCCACAUACACCUGUGCUACUGUUUAUGCCUGAGCCGGUUUUCCGGCCCAGGUUAUCAUUUCAUACAAACUCUAGUCUUAUGAAUGUAAACGUUUUAAUAAUACAUAAU